rnacentral:lncRNA from 1 species
CAGCCGCAGUGUGCAACACAUAUUAAACCCUCGCACUAUGUUUCUUGCUAAAGAAUUGGGUGCGCAUUAGAUUUCUAUUUUGUUUAGGAGCUUUAAUGUAAUUUCUAUCUUAGUUUUCCCCUUUGGACCCAUAGAGAGCGGGCGUGCAUUUGAUUCGGGGGCUUGUUAGAAUCGGGCAAAUACUACCAAGUGAAUGAAAUGUGUGUUCCGACGUUUUUUAUGCAUCUUGUUUGAUUCGACCUGCUGGAUAAUUCAAUAAAUUUUGGUGGUUCUGUCAGGGUCAAAUUAACGAAAAUGAACUGAAAUACCCAAAUUGACUUAG